CAAUAGCGUAUAUUAAAGUUGUUGCGGUUAAAAAGCUCGUAGUUGGAUUUCGGGUGGGAAUGGCCGGUCCGCCGUUUCGGUGUGCACUUGCUACGCCCACCUUGCUGCCGGGGACGUGCUCUUGAGUUCACGCUCGGGACACGGAGUCGGCGAGGUUACUUUGAGUAAAUUAGAGUGUUCAAAGCAGGCCUACGCUCUGAAUACAUUAGCAUGGAAUAACACGAUAGGACUCUGGCCUAUCUUGUUGGUCUGUAGGACCGGAGUAAUGAUUAAGAGGGACAGUCGGGGGCAUUCGUAUUUCAUUGUCAGAGGUGAAAUUCUUGGAUUUAUGAAAGACGAACUACCGCGAAAGCAUUUGCCAAGGAUGUUUUCAUUAA
rnacentral:rRNA from 1 species